CUUAAAUUGAAGAGUUUGAUCAUGGCUCAGAUUGAACGCUGGCGGCAGGCCUAACACAUGCAAGUCGAGCGGAAACGACACUAACAAUCCUUCGGGUGCG
rnacentral:rRNA from 1 species